GACGAACGCUGGCGGCGUGCUUAACACAUGCAAGUCGAACGCUGAAGCUCAGCUUGCUGGGUGGAUGAGUGGCGAACGGGUGAGUAACACGUGAGUAACCUGCCCUCUUCUUUGGGAUAACGCCCGGAAACGGGUGCUAAUACUGGAUAUUCACUGAUUCUCGCAUGGGGGUUGGUGGAAAGGUUUUUUCUGGUGGGGGAUGGGCUCGCGGCCUAUCAGCUUGUUGGUGGGGUGAUGGCCUACCAAGGCUUUGACGGGUAGCCGGCCUGAGAGGGUGACCGGUCACAUUGGGACUGGGAUACGGCCCAGACUCCUACGGGAGGCAGCAGUGGGGAAUAUAGCACGAUGGGCGAAAGCCUGAUGCAGCGACGCCGCGUGAGGGAUGGAGGCCUUCGGGUUGUAAACCUCUUUCGCUCAUGGUCAAGCCGCAGCUUUGGGUUGUGGUGAGGGUAGUGGGUAAAGAAGCGCCGGCUAACUACGUG
rnacentral:rRNA from 1 species